rnacentral:rRNA from 1 species
AAAAAACAAGAUCUGUUGCCGCAUUCGGUCUCCUCCUUUCUCAUCGAUCCCCUUCUUCCUCUCUACAGGACGCCUCCCGCAGCAGAUCAUCGCGCCGCCGCCGCCGCAAAUCAGGUGUCAUUCCUUUUCUUCGAUCCAACCCAAUCUCUUUCCUCUUCUUUAGUCCAAUCCUUCUACUUUUUGAUCCAAUCCCUCUUUAACCUGAAACAGUAUCCGAAAAGAACUACUUCGCUGCGCCAAUGGGGUGUUCGGCUGGGACUCCGGCAAGAACUCCUUUUUCCGUUCUAGAGGCCGAUGUACGCUCAUAUAAAUACACAUCUACUCCCUCGACUGAAGCUACAGCCCAAUUGCGUCGUUUCGUCCGUGCUCGACAUUUGUGUACUGUCGUUCUGCCGAUGUCGUCGGAAUCUCGCCGCUUUGCCGAAGUCACCGGAAUUUGUCUGUACUGCCGACUUCACUGGAAAUACGUCCGCCCGUGUAGCCAAGGUUCCAGCAAAAACAAUGGCUUGCCGUCGCCAGGUCACAGCAAAAAAUUUGGUCGGUACCAGCCAAAAAAGAACAGUUCCAGCAAAAAAAGAUCCUUGUCGCGGUCACAGAAAAUGGAUCACAACGUUGAAUCGGCAGUUGUUGAGGAUUUUCAUAACCAACCUUAAAAAAAAGUAAAAUGUUCUGUAUCAAGUCUUUUGGAAUCAGAUGAACAUAUCAAUGGUGAUCCAUUGACAUCACCUCCAUCGCCAAUCAUCUCGACCUUACCUCCGGUUUCUGAAAGUUCUGAAAUGAAUGGUUUGAAAUCAGAUGAACAGAUAAAUGAUAAUCUAUUGCCAUCACUUCCAUCAUCAACGAUCUCAACACUAUCUCCGGUUUCUGGAUUGAUGAAUGAACAAAAGGUUGCAUUAGAUGAUGAUAAGCAAUCAGAUGAACAUAAACAGAUUGAAGAUGAAAGAUAUGAUUAUCUCCCACAAGAUUAUGCAUUGACCGAGCGGGAUUUAUGCGCUCAUGUAAUAAUAGAAACGUCUUUGAAAAAUGAUUUACUGGUGAAGAUAGAUGACAUCUCUGUCAAACAACAUCAAAUGGUGUGCCUGCUAGAUGAUAGCAAAUGGCUAAAUGAUGAUGUAAUCAGCGCAUAUAUAUGUUGUAUAAAGGAUCAAGUACAUGUGCAAAAUAAGAAUGAUGGUAAAGUAUAUUUUGAGAACCCCUUUAUUUCCAGAUUGUUAAAACGGGAUGGUGGUAUUGGAAUACAUGGAGAUGGUACCUUUAUGACAGAUAUUGUCAGAAACUAUCUGAAAUAUGACAUGAUUGAACUUCCCAUAAAUAUCGACAACAAGCAUUGGUAUUUAGCUAUCGUCAAUGCAAAAAAGUCUGAGAUACAAGUAUUCGACUCAUUGUGUUGGGAGUUCAACCGAAAUGACCUCACUACUAUGCUACAAGGACUACAAUAUCAUUUGGACAUUCUUAGAAGACAACAAGACUCUAUUAGCCAUAAAUGGACAGAUCUAGAUGUUACUAAAUGGAUGAUUACAGAACAAUUACGAGAGCCAAUUCAGGAAGACAGUUCAUCAUGUGGUCUAUUUAUGCUUAAAUUCAUGGAAUAUUCUACCGAAGAUACACUAUGCCAUCCGAUUACACAGGAAAUAAUUACUCCUUUUAGAUAUAAGUUAGCCAGCAUAUUAUUAUGUUGGAAAACAAAUACAGCAGCGAUGACUACCAUGCUUGAACAAAGUGAUAUUGAGGAAGAUCCUAAUGAUGUUGUGAUGUUGGAAAGUCCGGAGGAUCAAAAUAAAGCAAAAUCAUUAAACUCAUUGUCCUUCAAAAAUAAAUACCAAUCAUUGAUAUCUGUUAUUUCUAACAUGAGCCUACAUGCAUUAGUAGGUAGACUUUGUAGCUACAUCAAGUCAAUCAAGUGUAUGGAAACUUUAGAAAAAGUAUGGGUACAAAGCUCCAAGCCAUAUCCCAUCAGCUUAACUCUAAAAAAGCUACAAGGAAUUCUAAAUGAGGAUUUGCCCAUGAACCGUGAUUGUUUCAAUCUGGUCGUACGAAGGAAUAUGUUUGACAACAUUUAAACGAUUAAAAAAAAGAAGAGGAUCGAUAUCGAAGCAUUAUCUUGACAUGCAGUUUUUGAUUCAUAUUCCAGUGCAAUCAAAUGGUGAUUACAUCUUGUUCAUACUGGACCAUGAUAUCAAAACUGUCAACAUUUUGGACCCUACUCCUAUUGAUCCCAUCUAUCAAUACAACCCACAUGCAAGAUAUGUGCACAAAAUUUUGUGGAUUGCUGAAUACUUAACUAAAGCCAUGUCAAAGGCAUGCCCUGGGUCUAGAUGGAACGAGAAUAUUUUCCUAUGGCGCCAAAAAAUCAUACAUGAUAUUCCGGUUCAAAAUAGGGAACUGUCUGGUUAUUUGGUUACCCACUUCAUGCCUACAUGGGAAGAUGAAAACCUGCAUCUACCAGUUUUAAAGGAUGGAUAUGAACUCAGAAAACAAAUUUCGGGACAGCUACUGACAUUCAAGGAGAAUGAAUGUGAAAACAACAUGCCUGCUGGUAUCCUGGAAUUCAUCAGUUGUAUACGGGAAAUCCAAAAUAAAGCUGCACAACUUUGUUCUCCAAUAUGAAUAUGUGGACUUACGGGUCAAAAGGAAAACAAAGACCAAUAAAGAAGCCCCAUCUCCAGCAGUUGCUCCUCCUCAACUGCCUACAUGCUAGAGACUGUGACGCGCAACCUGAAGCCCACCUCUUAUCCAAACUCUGUAGUUUAGUUUGUUCACCUUUCAGGGACUGCAUAGAUUUAGUUAAUAGUGAUGUUUUCCUUUGUGUCAAAACUCUUAUGUAAUUCGAGUUAGUUAUUAUGGCACUAUGUCCUUUUGGGGGGAGGCCCCUGAUUACCGAAAAUCAAUGUCAUUUUUUCUAUUAUUUUCCACCGAGUUGAAGAUCCUUCAACUAUACUUGCAUGGUCUGUUGAAGUUGCUUUGGAUGUCCCUCCAACGUCACUGUAGAGUGUAC